UUUUAACAGCUGAAUCAGUACUUGAGCCCCAGUAUUCUACAGUUUUAGUAGUUUUGGCUGCUUCACUAGUACAGAAUAAUAUAGUUAAUUAUUUCUCCGUAAAACUGCAUUCUUAAACUUUCAUGCAUAGUACUUUGUGAGAGCUUUUUCAUGAGCUAUGCUGAAUUAUGAUUCCUUUUCUAAUCUGUUGUUGUUUUGUUUUGUUUUUUUGGGGGGGGGAAAGAGGUUCGAGGCAGGGUUUCUCUGUAGCUCUGGCUGUCCUGGAACUCACUCUGUAGACCAGGCUGUCCUCGAACUCAGAAAUCGCCUCCCGAGUGCUGGGAUUAAAGGUGUUCUCCACCACUGCCCGGCAUAAUUUACUAGGAGAAAGGGAAAGUUGGGGAUAUAUAGCAGUAUAGCAUAUCCCAUAUGCAAGGUGUAUACAUCUGUGAUGAAUAUCUUUAUCUUUUUCCUGGUCAUUUUCAAUUUGUUAGUUAUGAUUGAAACUGUUUUAGAAUAGAGACUAAUGACUUUUUAAAUUGUGUAGGUUAUUUAGUUUGUGGUUUUUUUUUUUGAGACAAGGAAAGUCUUGGUACUUUUGAACCUGCCUGCCUCUUGCCUUUUUUUGCCUCUUGUUUCCUGAGUGCUAGUAUUAUGUGUAUGCUCUACCACCUCUGGCCUAGAGAUUUAAAAGUUAAAGAUAGCCCUUGUGCAGUGCACAUUUUUUAUUCCAGUAAUCUCUUUAAUUCAAGUUUAAACACAGCCUGGUCUACAUUGCAAGUUCCAGAACAUAGAGGGACCCUGGGCUACAUAGAGGGACCCUGGCUCAAAACAAACUAACAAACCCAAAAAUUUAAAGAUAGAAAAAUUCAUGCCAAGAAACAUGGUUGUUUUGAUAUUUUAAAAAGGGAUUUAGCAUGUUUCAAUGUAAUAUGUAGAUGCCUAAAAACAAUCUAUUUUUAUUUAGAUGGUGUUUCUAAACCCUGAGCAAAGACAGCUUGCUUGAGCCUAGCUCUUCACAUUUUCUUCUACAGUUAGGAUACAUUAGGAUUUUAAAAUUAUAGUCAUCAGAAGAAUCCUUGUGUUAUAGUAAAUCUACCAGAUAUUUAUUGUAUGUAUAUAGUUAUAAAAUGCAUUAUUUGAUCUCCGAAAAUAGUAGUUUUGAUUGUUUCAUAGAAAGAAGCCUGUGAUGAAAUAAACUUGUUUUCAUGUCACUGUACUCAAGCCUUUUAAGAAUUCUGUUUGCUAUUUUAAUGCAAUAAAAUUAUACUUUUGAC
rnacentral:lncRNA from 1 species